AAUGUCAGAGCAGGGAGCCUGAAGGAUGGCCCCUCUGUUCACAACACACCUGACAGGAAUAUGGGAUCAUUGUGACAAAGGGCACAAUACUUGCAGCCUCCCUGUGAAUAAAUGCCCUACAUGU